GAUGAAGAACGUAGCGAAUUGCGAUAUGUAAUGUGAAUUGCAGAAUUCAGUGAAUCAUCGAAUCUUUGAACGCACCUUGCGCCCUUUGGUAUUCCGAAGGGCAUGCCUGUUUGAGUGUCAUUGCUGCCCUCAAGCACGGCUUGUGUGUUGGGCCUCCGUCCUCCUCCCGGGGGACGGGCCCGAAAGGCAGCGGCGGCACCGCGUCCGGUCCUCGAGCGUAUGGGGCUUCGUCACCCGCUCUUGUAGGCCCGGCCGGCGCUUGCCGACACAUCAAUCUUUUUUCCAGGUUGACCUCGGAUCAGGUAGGGAUACCCGCUGAACUUAAGCAUAUCAAUAAGCGGAGGA
rnacentral:misc_RNA from 1 species